rnacentral:antisense_RNA from 1 species
ACUUUCAGGACUGCAGGGGAAAGGGGUGGACACCCAACCUCCCGCCAGGAGAAUACAAAAAUACAUCAGUUUGCAAACCAGAAGAAGGUCCUCACCAGAAACCAACUAUGCUGGCACCCUGAUCUUGGACUUCUAGCCUCCAGAACUGUGAGAAAUAAAUGUGUGUUUAUAAACCACUCAGUCAGUCUAUGGUGCUUUAUUAUAGCAUCUGGAACGAGACAGCUACUAAGUAGCAUUCCAUUUGACAAGGAAGAUUUACCAUGCACACUACUUCUGAGUUCAAUGAAAGAGAGGCUCGCAAUAGAAAACUUAUACAGUACUUUCUAUGGUCAGCUGUGAUCAUAAAAAGAGAGUAAGAUGAAAAACAACUCUGAAAGACAAGAUUUGAUUUCUCUUUUUCAUUGUACACAUAAAAUAAGACUUGACCCUCUGGAAAAAGGAAGGCUGAGAAUGAAUAUAUAAGAAGAGGACAUAAAAUGGUGGAAAGAGAAAGCAUGGUU